rnacentral:rRNA from 1 species
GAUGAACGCUGGCGGCGUGCCUAACACAUGCAAGUCGAACGGAGCUGCUUUGAUGAGAUCUUCGGAUGGAUUUAAAACAGCUUAGUGGCGGACGGGUGAGUAACGCGUGGGUAACCUGCCUCACACUGGGGGAUAACAGUUAGAAAUAGCUGCUAAUACCGCAUAAGCGCACGGCUCCGCAUGGAACAGUGUGAAAAACUCCGGUGGUGUGAGAUGGACCCGCGUCUGAUUAGCCAGUUGGCGGGGUAACGGCCCACCAAAGCGACGAUCAGUAGCCGGCCUGAGAGGGUGAACGGCCACAUUGGGACUGAGACACGGCCCAAACUCCUACGGGAGGCAGCAGUGGGGAAUAUUGCACAAUGGGGGAAACCCUGAUGCAGCGACGCCGCGUGAGUGAAGAAGUAUUUCGGUAUGUAAAGCUCUAUCAGCAGGGAAGAAAGUGACGGUACCUGAAUAAGAAGCCCCGGCUAACUACGUGCCAGCAGCCGCGGUAAUACGUAGGGGGCAAGCGUUAUCCGGAUUUACUGGGUGUAAAGGGAGCGUAGACGGCAAGGCAAGUCUGAAGUGAAAGCCCGGUGCUUAACGCCGGGACUGCUUUGGAAACUGUUUAGCUGGAGUGCCGGAGAGGUAAGCGGAAUUCCUAGUGUAGCGGUGAAAUGCGUAGAUAUUAGGAAGAACACCAGUGGCGAAGGCGGCUUACUG